UAAAACGCAGGAUCAAGAGUUAAGGCAGUGACUAAGAAACAAUAUAACAACUAGACUACCAAACCAAAUCAACACAGGACUACGAGCUAGAACACCAGACAAGACAUAAACACUAAGGAAACGAGAAGAACAGGUAGGAACAGGCCUUACCUGCUGGGGACUCAUUGUGGUUCUCCUCAUCAGAGUCAGCAAAAACUUCAGCCAGCUCCUGGUCAGACAUGUCAGUCAGCUCAGUCAGAUCCAGAAGGUCAAAGUGCACCUCCAAAGAAGACACACUACUCAGUGGUUCUACGAGGCAUAUUGACAAAACAGGGAAAGGCAGAAACAACUGCCUCUCAAAAAGCCAAUCAGGGGGAGCUCUGAGAUGCCAGGACUGACAAUAGAGAAUUCACGCUGAGACUGAAAAAAAUGACUUUUUGUCUACAGCAGAUGGAUGAUUUAAAAGACUACAACCUCUUCUUACACUAAGAUAUACAGCCUGGUGGCUUGUAAAAUUUUAUUUGUGUUUACUGAUCUAUUUUGACUCCUCCAUGAUGACAUUACAUUUUUUUAGCAUGUCCUUAAUCUCGUACUUUAUAUUCAUGGCUUUACAGUUAAUGCGUGUAAAAUAAAGUGCCCUUCAAUUUACUGAAAA